UACCAGACUCCUACGGGAGGCAGCAGUGAGGAAUAUUGGUCAAUGGGCGCGAGCCUGAACCAGCCAAGUCGCGUGAGGGAUGACGGUCCUACGGAUUGUAAACCUCUUUUGCCGGGGAGCAAGCGUGCGUUCGUGAACGCGCGUCGAGAGUACCCGGAGAAAAAGCAUCGGCUAACUCCGUGCCAGCAGCCGCGGUAAUACGGAGGAUCCGAGCGUUAUCCGGAUUCAUUGGGUUUAAAGGGUGCGUAGGUUGUUUUAUAAGUUAGCGGUGAAAUACCGAUGCUCAACAUCGGGGCUGCCGCUAAUACUGUAGGACUAGAGAUCGGAUGCAGCAGGCGGAAUGUGUAGUGUAGCGGUGAAAUGCAUAGAUAUUACACAGAACACCGAUUGCGAAGGCAGCUUGCUAGGCCGGAUCUGACACUGAUGCACGAAAGCGUGGGUAUCGAACAGGAUUAGAUACCCCAGUACG
rnacentral:rRNA from 1 species